GGCACCAAUGAAAGGAUGAUAAACAGCGCUGGUGGCGGCGCUGGUUACCGCGUGGAAAGGUCCCGGUCACGACAGAACCCAGUGUUAGUUUUCAGAACUUUAUUAGGAGGGAUAAAGGGGGAAGAAGACCAGGCCUGGUGAGAGAGGAAGAUGGUGGGGUUGGGGGAGAGGGGAGCAGAGCAGAGCAGGGAGCAGGGAGCAGAGAGAGCGUAGGAUCUGCAUUGUCUUUUAAGGUGCAGAUUGUGUGACCACGCCGGCGCUUAUGUAGUCGCCAGUGCCCCGGAUGAUGUAAGACACAAGACCCUGAGCUGGGCAUGGGCAGGAGUGAGGGCAAGAUCCUAACACUUGCCUCAAGAAAUGACCUCAAUCUAGUUCAUAGACUUAAGUACGAAGCUGCACCCCUGUAGAGACUGGAAGUGGUUUGUUCCUGAAGUGUCUGUGUUCAUGAUCCGAACCUUAAUACAGCCGUGUGUGUCCUGAGACCCUUCAAGAAGUAAAACCUGGACUGUGAACCCGGACCAGCGCAGACUGGAUUGAGGUAGCCAAGAGUCCUUGGUGGAGGCGCCAUUCUCCAUGUGCUUUCUUUGGUUAGAGUCUCGGUUAAGUUUCAAAGAACUGGCAAGUACAGAGGGAGGCUGCUGUGGUAGAUGGACAAGAGAAGCCACCAGCCUGCCGCUGGUUCUUACUAUGUGUUCGGUGCUGCUCUGUGACGUCACAGCAGAUGUGUCAGUUCCUGCCUUGGAGAGCUUACGGUUGAGCCAGGGCUAAUCAUCACCUGGAGCAGCAGCGAGUGGCUUAUCGCUGUGCAGAAACCCGGAAGAUCUAGUGAACUCGGCUCCAGAGAUCUCUGAUUUGCUUUGAUGUAUUCUCCCUGGGUGUUGCUAUCACAUGCUUGGUCUGCCUUCACUGCCGCCCAGGACCAGGAAUGACUCCCGGCCUCCCACCGCGGCAAGAGAAAAUCAGCCUUGGGCUGCUCUUUGUUUCAGCAAUUUCAGCACCGCAAGUGGGCUGUGGGUGAUACGGACAACAAGGGGCUGCGAAGGGAAGCAGAGCAAAGAUGCAUCCUGACUCACUCCUAGCAAGGUGCGGAACACACAAACAGAGAUAUAGGGAACACAGAAAUCGGCAGAGGCCACGGGGUUUGCCUUGCAGGACAGAGCUCUGUUCUGUGCAAUCCGCACUGUACAAGGCAGAGGUUUGGAAAACUCCCCAACAAGGGCCCCUGUGUUAAAGGCUUGAAAGCAGGUAGAACCUUAGGAGGCCAGGCUUAAUGAGCGGGGCCCUUAGAUGACUGCGCAUGCACCUGAGUUGGACGGUGGGGUCCUUUGGCUUUCUAGCUGACGAGUUAAUAAGCAGUUUUGCUCUUCUACUGGAUAGCACUGUAAUUCGCUACCUCAUCAUAGGCACAAAGCAACGAGAGGCUAAUUACGGAGAGGAAUCUUCCAAAGUAG